rnacentral:rRNA from 1 species
GGGAAUUUUUCGCAAUGGGCGAAAGCCUGACGGAGCAAUACCGCGUGAGGGAGGAAGGCUCUUGGGUUGUAAACCUCUUUUCUCAAGGAAGAAGUUCUGACGGUACUUGAGGAAUCAGCAUCGGCUAACUCCGUGCCAGCAGCCGCGGUAAUACGGAGGAUGCAAGCGUUAUCCGGAAUGAUUGGGCGUAAAGCGUCCGCAGGUGGUGGUGUGUGUCUAUUGUCAAAGCAUCAUGCUUAACAUGAUAAAGGCAGUAGAAACUACACGACUAGAGUGCGUUCGGGGCAGAGGGAAUUCCUGGUGUAGCGGUGAAAUGCGUAGAGAUCAGGAAGAACAGUCGUCAUGAAGAGUGCUCCGCUAAGUGCGACUAGAUACACAGUAGUCAUGGAGUGACG